rnacentral:rRNA from 1 species
GAUGAACGCUGGCGGCGUGCCUAAUACAUUCAAGUCGAGCGAACGGACGAGAAGCUUGCUUCUCUGAUGUUAGCGGCGGACGGGUGAGUAACACUUGGAUAACCUACCUAUAAGACUGGGAUAACUUCGGGAAACCGUAGCUAAUACCGGAUGAUAUUUUGAACCGCAUGGUUCAAAAGUGAAAGACGGUCUUGCUGUCACUUAUAGAUUGAUCCGCGCUGCAUUAGCUAGUUGGUAAGGUAACGGCUUACAAAGGCAACGAUGCAUAGCCGACCUGAGAGGGUGAUCGGCCACACUGGAACUGAGACACGGUCCAGAAUCCUACGGGAGGCAGCAGUAGGGAAUCUUCCGCAAUGGGCGAAAGCCUGACGGAGCAAAGCCGCGUGAGUGAUGAAGGUCUUCGGAUCGUAAAAAACUGUUAUUAGGGAAGAACAUAUGUGUAAGUAACUGUGCAAAUCUUGACGGUACCUAAUCAGAAAGCAACGGAUAACUACGUG